AGUGAACGCUGGCGGUAGGCCUAACACAUGCAAGUCGAACGGCAGCACAGUAAGAGCUUGCUCUUACGGGUGGCGAGUGGCGGACGGGUGAGGAAUACAUCGGAAUCUACUUUUUCGUGGGGGAUAACGUAGGGAAACUUACGCUAAUACCGCAUACGACCUACGGGUGAAAGCAGGGGAUCUUCGGACCUUGCGCGAUUGAAUGAGCCGAUGUCGGAUUAGCUAGUUGGCGGGGUAAAGGCCCACCAAGGCGACGAUCCGUAGCUGGUCUGAGAGGAUGAUAAGCGACACUGGAACUGAGACACGGUCCAGACUACUACGGGAGGCAGCAGUGGGGAAUAUUGGACAAUGGGCGCAAGCCUGAUCCAGCCAUACCGCGUGGGUGAAGAAGGCCUUCGGGUUGUAAAGCCCUUUUGUUGGGAAAGAAAAGCAGCAGGUUAAUACCCCGCUGUUCUGACGGUACCCAAAGAAUAAGCACCGGCUAACUUCGUG
rnacentral:rRNA from 1 species